rfam:Aedes albopictus isolate Foshan contig30236, whole genome shotgun sequence.
UGCCUAGCAACUUCUAUACCUACCUCCGCGUGGCACCGGCCGGGAUGUGAUCAACUUAAGGGAAGAUCGGGUAACCAACCCCGGUGGGAACUUUGGUCGUAGUCUGACGGGGAAGG